CAAACACUCUUUUUGUAUAGGCCAUUACUGCAAUGACUUCAAUGAAAUAUGUGAUCCGAUCGUUUAGAUAAAUAUAAAUGUAUAUUAGUAUAAUGAUUAUAACAAUCGACUUGGUUAUGUUCUGUGUAUUACAUAAUCACUAAAUGCGUAAAGAUGUGUCCCCGAGAUAUAAACUUAAACGUAAAAUUUUUAAGUUAGAACGGAAUGUGAAAUCAAUCGAUGUUAAAUUUGGCAUACCCUCAAGAGUUCCUUAACCUUCCAAGGUAAGGUUAGAAAGGCCAGAAAGGAUAAAGCAAUGUUUUUAAUAACCAAAAACUUCAAUUGAAUUUCUAUUAUGUAAUAUUGUAA